CCUACGGGGGGCAGCAGUGGGGGAUAUUGCACAAUGGGGGAAACCCUGAUGCAGCGACGCCGCGUGAGUGAGGAAGUAUUUCGGUAUGUAAAGCUCUAUCAGCAGGGGAGAAAAUGACAGUACCUGACCAAGAAGCCCCGGCUCACUACGUGCCAGCAGCCGCGGUAAUGCGUAGGGGGCAAGCGUUAUCCGGAUGUACUGGGUGUAAAGCGGUUGUAGUCGGUUAUGUAGGUCUGGAGUGAGAGCCCGGGGCACUACCCCGGGACGGCUUGGGAAACUGUGUAACUGGAGUACAGGAGGGGCAGGCGGAAUGCCUGGUGUAGCGGUGAAAUGCAUAGAUAUCAGGAGGAACACCGGUUGCGAAGGCGGCAUGCUGGACCGAAACUGACGUUGAGGCUCGAAAGCGUGGGGAGCAAACAGGAUUAGAUACCCUUGUAGUC
rnacentral:rRNA from 1 species